UACGUAGGGGCCAAGCGUUGUCCGGAUUUAUUGGGCGUAAAGAGCUCGUAGGCGGUUCGGCAAGUCAGCUGUGAAAUCUCCACGCUCAACGUGGAGGGGUCAGCUGAUACUGCUGUGACUUGAGUCCGGUAGGGGAGUGUGGAAUUCCCGGUGUAGCGGUGAAAUGCGCAGAUAUCGGGAGGAACACCAGUAGCGAAGGCGGCACUCUGGGCCGGUACUGGACGCUGAGGAGCGAAAGCGGUGGGGAGCAAACAGG
rnacentral:rRNA from 1 species